UACAGAGGGGGCAAGCGUUGUUCGGAAUUACUGGGCGUAAAGGGCGCGUAGGCGGAUUGCUAAGUCAGGGGUGAAAUCCUGGAGCUCAACUCCAGAACUGCCUUUGAUACUGGCGAUCUCGAGUCCGGGAGAGGUGAGUGGAACUGCGAGUGUAGAGGUGAAAUUCGUAGAUAUUCGCAAGAACACCAGUGGCGAAGGCGGCUCACUGGCCCGGUACUGACGCUGAGGUGCGAAAGCGUGGGGAGCAAACAGG
rnacentral:rRNA from 1 species